GGGGCUGAUUCUGGAUUCGACGGGAUUUGCGAAACCCAAGGUGCAUGCCGAGGGGCGGUUGGCCUCGUAAAAAGCCGCAAAAAAUAGUCGCAAACGACGAAAACUACGCUUUAGCAGCUUAAUAACCUGCUUAGAGCCCUCUCUCCCUAGCCUCCGCUCUUAGGACGGGGAUCAAGA
rnacentral:tmRNA from 1 species